AUUUUUUUGAAUAUUUCUUUUGAAUUAACCAGGAGCAGCGGGGGCAGCGGGUAAUCUUGGUAAAGCUGGUAGCGGUGGUAUUCUUGGAAAACGAGGGAAAUCUGGUAACUCAGGAGGAGGAAUUUGUGGUAUUGCUGGUAAACGAGGUAGACUCGGUAAAGAAGGGAAAGACGGCAAAGCUGGUAUUUUGGGUAAGGCUGGCAGAGCUGGCAAUCUUAGGAACGGUGGUAACGUAAACGAACUGGCUGCUUGUUGGUAUUGUUGAGGCUGGUAGUAUCUGACUGGCCGGUACACUACUGGCCUUGGUCUUCGUCUUCUUGGUUGAUUUGACCGACCACAGCCACCACACCAUAAAGAUCCGCAGACUCGCUUAUUUCGAGUUAAACCUUUA
rnacentral:lncRNA from 1 species